ACGCUGGCGGCGUGCUUAAUACAUGCAAGUCAACGACUUUUAGAGUAGCAAUAUUCUAAAGGAAGUGGCGCACGGGUGAGUAACACGUAGGUAAUCUGCCUUCAGGACUGACACAACUCGUCGAAAGACGGGCUAAUAUCAGAUAAUGCAGCGGCUCCGCAUGGAGACAGUUGUUAAAGUACAAGCGCCUGAAGAUGAGCCUGCGGUCCGUUAGCUAGUUGGUAGAGUAACAGCCUACCAAGGCAACGAUGGAUAGCUGGUCUGAGAGGAUGAUCAGCCACACUGGAACUGAGACACGGUCCAGACUCCUACGGGAGGCAGCAGUAAGGAAUAUUGCUCAAUGGCCGAAAGGCUGAAGCAGCAACGCCGCGUGAAGGAUGAAUGGCCUUUGGCCUGUAAACUUCUGUAAAAGGGAAAACAAUCAGGCAUGUCCUGAUUUGAUUGUACCUUUGAAGUAAGCCCCGGCUAACUACGUG
rnacentral:rRNA from 1 species